CUCAAAAUGAUCCAGUCUCAUUUAAUGUUUAUGCAACUCCACUUGUACUCAGAUAAUAAGAUAAUACCUAUACCAAAAAGAGAUUCAAUGACUCUGAUAAAUGACAAACUGCUAGUCCUUCACUUCAUCAAAGAAAAACCACUUCCAUAAUAACAAACAUACUUGAUACAACAACUAUAAACCCUUAAUAUUUCUGGUUUAAUUUUCAUGAGGAAGAAACUAGAAAGGAAUGGUUUGACCACAAAUAUGAUGAAUGGAACCAUUAAGGAAUAGAUAGACAAGGAAGGUUCUUUAGGCUUGCUGAAGCAGCUUCCUGCAUGG
rnacentral:misc_RNA from 1 species